rnacentral:rRNA from 1 species
GACGAACGCUGGCGGCGUGCUUAACACAUGCAAGUCGAACGGAAAGGCCCUGCUUUUGUGGGGUGCUCGAGUGGCGAACGGGUGAGUAACACGUGAGUAACCUGCCCUUGACUUUGGGAUAACUUCAGGAAACUGGGGCUAAUACCGGAUAGGAGCUCCUGCUGCAUGGUGGGGGUUGGAAAGUUUCGGCGGUUGGGGAUGGACUCGCGGCUUAUCAGCUUGUUGGUGGGGUAGUGGCUUACCAAGGCUUUGACGGGUAGCCGGCCUGAGAGGGUGACCGGGCCCAAUGGGACUGGGAUUAGGGCCCGAACCCCUAGGGGGGGAGGAGGGGGGAAAUUUGCAAAAAGGGGGGGAGCCCUAAGCCGGAAACCCCGGGGGGGGAAUGAGGGCCUCGGGUUUUAAACCGCUUUCCCCCGUGAAGAAGGGGGGGGGGCCGGUAUUGGUAAAAGAAGCCCCGCCAAACUAGGU